GUAGGUGGCAAGCGUUGUCCGGAAUUAUUGGGCGUAAAGCGCGCGCAGGCGGUCCUUUAAGUCUGAUGUGAAAGCCCACGGCUCGAACCGUGAGGGUCAUUGGAAACUGGGGACUUGAGUACAGAAGAGGAAAGCGGAAUUCCAAGUGUAGCGGUGAAAUGCGUAGAGAUUUGGAGGAACACCAGUGGCGAAGGCGGCUUUCUGGUCUGUAACUGACGCUGAGGCGCGAAAGCGUGGGGAGCAAACAGGAUUAGAUACCCUGGUAGUCCACGCCGUAAACGAUGAGUGCUAAGUGUUAGGGGGGUUUCCCGCCCCCCUUAGUGCUGCAGCUAACGCAUUAAGCACUCCGCCCUGGGGAGUACGGCCCGCAAGGCUG
rnacentral:rRNA from 1 species